rnacentral:ncRNA from 22 species
GUCGAGAGGGCGGAGAAUACAAUACCCUUUGGGGGAAUAAUCCCGGUCUACUUGUGAAGGCUUCUGAACCUCUCGGCACCCUAUU